AUUGAACGCUGGCGGCAUGCUUUACACAUGCAAGUCGAACGGCAGCGCGGGCUUCGGCCUGGCGGCGAGUGGCGAACGGGUGAGUAAUGCAUCGGAACGUGCCCAGUAGUGGGGGAUAGCCCGGCGAAAGCCGGAUUAAUACCGCAUACGACCUGAGGGUGAAAGCGGGGGACCGAAAGGCCUCGCGCUAUUGGAGCGGCCGAUGUCGGAUUAGCUAGUUGGUGGGGUAAAGGCUUACCAAGGCGACGAUCCGUAGCUGGUCUGAGAGGACGACCAGCCACACUGGGACUGAGACACGGCCCAGACUCCUACGGGAGGCAGCAGUGGGGAAUUUUGGACAAUGGGGGCAACCCUGAUACAGCCAUGCCGCGUGCGGGAAGAAGGCCUUCGGGUUGUAAACCGCUUUUGUUCGGGAAGAAAUCCUCUGGGCUAAUACCCCGGGGGGAUGACGGUACCGGAAGAAUAAGCACCGGCUAACUACGUG
rnacentral:rRNA from 1 species